rnacentral:rRNA from 1 species
UCAUCAUGGCCCUUACGGCCAGGGCUACACACGUGCUACAAUGGCGCGUACAGAGGGCUGCAAGCUAGCGAUAGUGAGCGAAUCCCAAAAAGCGCUUCGUAGUCCGGAUCGGAGUCUGCAAUUCGACUCCGUGAAGUGGGAAUCGUUAGUAAUCGCGAAUCAGAAUGUCGCGGUGAAUACGUUCCCGGCCCUUGUACACACCGCCCGUCACACCAUGGGAGUGGGUUCCACCAGAAGUAGAUAGGUUAACCUUCGGGAAGGCGCGCCGACC